AUUCAACUGACCAGUCCCAAACAGGAUGAAAUGCGCGUCAAACUGGAU
rfam:Schistosoma mattheei strain Denwood, Zambia genome assembly, scaffold: SMTD_scaffold0015267